CAUGGAUGACACCUUGGCCCCACACCUGCCCCCUAAAUGACCCAAGACAGCUGAGGGCAAUAUAUGUGGUUCAGUUCUUGCCCUGACAGCUUGGCUUGGAUCUCCACCUGCCUGUGACCUGUCCCUGUGGCCGCAAGGGUGCUGACUGACAAGAAGUAAAACUGAAAGAAAAAAGAAAAGCACUUGGAACUAGGAACUAGAAUUUCUAGAUCUCUGCGUGAUGGGCAUUUACUUCUGGGUUUCAAGAUCCUCUUGCCAGACCAGCAGUGCUAAACUCAUCUUGCCUGGGAGCCUUACCAUCAGCAGUCACGUGUCAAUGGGCGCUCACUGCAUGCCAGUGCAACACACAUGUGCAAAUACUCGAAGACUAGAAAGUAUCCUGGGUAUUGUGAAAUCUUAAGGCACGAAAAUAAAUUUGUUAAAG